UACGGAGGGAGCUAGCGUUGUUCGGAAUUACUGGGCGUAAAGCGCACGUAGGCGGCUUUGUAAGUUAGAGGUGAAAGCCCGGGGCUCAACUCCGGAACUGCCUUUAAGACUGCAUCGCUUGAAUCCAGGAGAGGUGAGUGGAAUUCCGAGUGUAGAGGUGAAAUUCGUAGAUAUUCGGAAGAACACCAGUGGCGAAGGCGGCUCACUGGACUGGUAUUGACGCUGAGGUGCGGAAGCGUGGGGAGCAAACAGG
rnacentral:rRNA from 1 species